UCCACGCCGUAAACGAUGAUUACUGGUUGUGCGCGAUACACAGUGCGCGACUGAGGGAAACCAUUAAGUAAUCCACCUGGGGAGUACGUUCGCAAGAAUGAAACUCAAAGGAAUUGACGGGGGCCCGCACAAGCGGAGGAACAUGUGGUUUAAUUCGAUGAUACGCGAGGAACCUUACCUGGGCUUAAAUGUAGAGUGCAUGACUUGGAAACAGGUCUUUCCUUCGGGACUCUUUACAAGGUGCUGCAUGGUUGUCGUCAGCUCGUGCCGUGAGGUGUCGGGUUAAGUCCCAUAACGAGC
rnacentral:rRNA from 1 species